rnacentral:rRNA from 1 species
GAAAUUAUUAAAUUAUUUUUAUUUUUUAAUUAAAAUAUAAUUUAGUUUUAUUAUUAUUAUUGGAAAAAAUUAUUUUUAUUAUAAAAGAUUAGUAUAGUAAUAGAAAUAUUUAAAUUUUUGUUAAAGAAUAAUUAAUUUUUAGUACCUUGUGUAUCAGGGUUUAUUAAAUAAUAUUUAUUAAUUUUAAAUUUCUCGAAUUUAUAAGAGUUAAUUAUUUAUAAAUUUUAUUGUUGAAUAAAUAUUUAUAAUAAAUAAUUAGUAAUGAAACGUUAUUCGUUUAUAAAUAUAUCUAGUUUUUUUAGAAAUAAUUUUAAUUUAUAAUAUUACAAUAUUAAAUUUAUUUAAUAAAUUUUAUAUUUUUAAUAUAAUAUAAAUUUAGGGAUUAGCUUAAAUUUAUAUUUUUAUAAAUAAAUUUAAUUUUUAUAAAAUUGUAGGAUUAGAAAUUUUCAUCUUUAGUUUGUUAUAAUUAAUUUAUAAUUUAUAAAAAUUUAUUUUUAUUUUAAAUUUUUUAUAAAAAUAUUAAAUAUAAUAUUUUAAUUUAAGAAAUAAUGAUAAAAUUAGUAUAAUUUUAAUUUAUAAUUAAAUUUAAUAUUUAUAUUAUAAAAAGGAAUUCGGCAAAUUUAUAUUUCGCCUGUUUAUUAAAAACAUGUCUUUUUGAAUUUAAUUUAAAGUCUGACCUGCCCAAUGAUUUAAUUAAAUGGCCGCAGUAUUUUGACUGUGCAAAGGUAGCAUAAUCAUUAGUUUCUUAAUUAGAAACUGGAAUGAAAGGUUGAACGAAAUUAUAGCUGUCUCUUUAUAAUUAAUUUAAAAUUUUAUUUUUAAGUUAAAAAGCUUAAAUUUUUUUAAAAGACGAGAAGACCCUAUAGAGUUUUAUAUUUUAUAGAUUAAAUUUAUUAAUUGAAUUAUUUUUUAUUAAAUUUAUAAAAUAUUUUGUUGGGGUGAUAGAAAAAUUUAAUAAACUUUUUUUUUAUAAAAACAUUUUUUUAUGAAUUUAUGAUCCAUUUAUUAUGAUUAUAAGAUUAAAUUACCUUAGGGAUAACAGCGUAAUUUUUUUUAAGAGUUCUUAUCAAUAAAAAAGUUUGCGACCUCGAUGUUGGAUUAAAAUAUAUUUUUGGUGUAGAAGCUAAAAUAUUAGGUCUGUUCGACCUUUAAAAUUUUACAUGAUCUGAGUUUAAACCGGUGUGAGCCAGGUUGGUUUCUAUCUUUAAAUAGUUAAAAUAUUUUAGUACGAAAGGACCAAAUAUUUAUAAUAUAGUUAUUAAUUUUUAGAAUAUU